rnacentral:rRNA from 1 species
GACGAACGCUGGCGGCGGGCUUAACACAUGCAAGUCGAACGGAAAGGCCCUGCUUUUGUGGGGUGCUCGAGUGGCGAACGGGUGAGUAACACGGGAGUAACCUGCCCUUGACUUUGGGAUAACUUCAGGAAACUGGGGCUAAUACCGGAUAGGAGCUCCUGCUGCAUGGUGGGGGUUGGAAAGUUUCGGCGGUUGGGGAUGGACUCGCGGCUUAUCAGCUUGUUGGUGGGGUAGUGGCUUACCAAGGCUUUGACGGGUAGCCGGCCUGAGAGGGUGACCGGCCACAUUGGGACUGAGAUACGGCCCAGACUCCUACGGGAGGCAGCAGUGGGGAAUAUUGCACAAUGGGCGGAAGCCUGAUGCAGAAACGCCGCGUGCGGGAUGACGGCCUUCGGGUUGUAAACCGCUUUCGCCUGUGACGAAGCGUGAGUGACGGUAAUGGGUAAAGAAGCACCGGCUAACUACGUG